GCUUACGGCCACACCGCCUGGUUCGCCCCCAUCUCGGAAGCUAAGAUAGGUUGGGCCUGGUUAGUACUUUGAUGGGAGACCGCCUGGGAAUACCAGGUGCUGUAAGCU
rnacentral:rRNA from 1 species